rnacentral:rRNA from 1 species
CCCUUAGAUGUUCUGGGCCGCACGCGCGCUACACUGAUGCAUUCAACGAGCCUAUCCUUGGCAGAAGUGCCCGGGUAAUCUUUGAAACUGCAUCGUGAUGGGGAUAGAUUAUUGCAAUUAUUAGUCUUCAACGAGGAAUGCCUAGUAAGCGCGAGUCAUCAGCUCGCGUUGAUUACGUCCCUGCCCUUUGUACACACCGCCCGUCGCUCCUACCGAUUGGGUGUGCUGGUGAAGUGUUCGGAUUGGCUCCUAUUGGUGGCAACACUGAUUGGAGCCGAGAAGAUCAUUAAACCCUCCCACCUAGAGGAAGGAGAAGUCGUAACA